AGGAGAUGGGAGUAGCGUUCACACCUAAGUUAUGGCCUUUUACGAUCCAGGACAGCCGAGGGACAAGUUGCUUAUCAACCGCAGGACCCCCAGACUGAAUAAACAUUCAGCUUCUCACCUUGGCUGGAAAAGCUCAUAGUUGACACCUCAGUUUAAGGAUAGACCCAAAAGAUCAUGAGAAACUCUCCAAGGCUGCAUUUUGGCACCAAUCCCUGGAACAGACCCCUGCCAUAAAUUCUCAGAAUGACUGUGUUUUUCCUGUGACUCUCUCUAGGUGCAGAAGGAAGGAAGAGAAUGAGCGAAUUAUUCCAGGUUUUCCAUGGACCAGGAGCUCCUCCUAGUGGUGUUGUCUGAAUAUGGUUUGGUCAGAACCAAGUAUGUAUUCAUUGAAUUUAAUUAUGUGCAUUUUUAUGUACUUCAUAGCUUAGUAAAUGGUAUUCUCAAGAUAGGUUAGCAAUUUUAGAAGAAGUAACGGAAAACUCUUAAAUACCUGAGUUAAGAGUGUUUUGAAUGUAUAAAUGCUAUGUUUUUAUCUACCUCACCAGAAUAUGUCAAUCAUUUACUAAGUAUCGAUUGACAAGGUUAUAUUGUUAUUAAGUAUUAUCAUGUAUGUUUUUCUUGUGCUUGAUGGUGUUUCUGUUCGAAUAGAUAAUUUGGUUUUCUGUCCCUCUCUAACUUUCAAAAAGUCGUCAAUCCUCUGGUUAUAGAUUAUCAAGAAAAUGGCUGAUCAACGUUCUUUACGUUAAAUGUUAUGGUUUGACACAUCUGCUCAUAACAAACAGUGAAGUGAAAUGUGAUGGUAUGUGAUUUUAUAAAUGGCUUUAAUCAUAGUAAGUGAGUAAAUUAGAUCUUGCUUGCUUUUAAUAUCAAGUUAAGUUUAAUUUGCUGCCAGUUGACAGGCCUGCAUGGGGAAGAAACAAUGCAUAAGCACCCCCCCCCUCCUUUGGUUCGUGCCCCGCUGAAGCUAAAAAGAGUUGAGCUUUUGCCGCCCUCUCUCUUGUUUUUCGACCCUCUUCUUGUUUUAACGUCUUAGCCUUUUUGUCUCUGUCCAUCGUCUUGUAAUUUUUCCCCACGUUUUUAUUAUUUGCCUUGAGCUCAGACUUUUCCAGAAAUUUGGAUGAAACCAUGGCCAAGUUGUGGUGAGACGCCUCCUCCUCUUGUUAUAUUUUGGGUGGACUUCCUGUUUUUUUUUUGUUUUCCUGGGGCCUGUUCUACGAAGCAUGAUUACUGCUUAGCGAGGUAACUUUGAGGAUAGGUUCGGGGUUUCCUGUUCUACGACGCGGGUUCACCUCUUAGCGAGGCGAGUCUCCAUAGCAACAUACGUUGAACGGCUAAACUGCUCCGGGGCAGGUUAAGUUCCAGAUUGAACUCAAAGAGUGUAAAAACCCCGCCCACUGACCAAUGAGCUCUCUCGAAAAACGGCUUGUCCGUUCUUGGAGGAUCCUGUAGACCUCGGUGCUCGCAUUGUCUGAGGAGCACUCUGGCUCGCGAGAGUUUUCAGGGAGAGUUUUCUCCGGAUGACCACCUUUAUGAAAGGCUCAUAUGGCCGACAUAUUACACAAAACAUGUAAACACGAUAGGAAUGAACAAAUGAAUGAUUCAUCUUGGGAAUGAAUGAGCAUGGGCUGCGCGAUCACAGACAACAUCUCGGUACUAUUUAGUAGCAGCGCACGCCCCUUAUAAUAACCCCCGUAAAUACUGUUGUUCAGGACUGCUUACUUAUGCUUCCUACCCACUGUAACAACCGUUGUUCUUGCCCACAUGCAACAUUUUUGUUCUCAUUCAUGAAACGCUUAAAUCAGGGACAUUUUCGGGGACAGCUUUAGCCGGGGACAGGACAGAUCAUCCAAUUCGGGGACUGUCACUUUAGUUAAAAGUGCAUGUUGAACAGUGCUAUUUCAGGGUGAUAAUGGCAUCAAAGAUUACUUUUCUGCCAGCCUUCCCUCCGUGAUUUUGCAGCGGCGACGUUGUUGCUUUUGAGGUUUGUGAUAGCUUUCAAUUCUUCAUACUUUCUCAUGAUCGUCUCCUGCUCCUCGUUUGUAAAGUCUGCGGUCCUUCACUCUCCAGCCUGCUCUGAUGCUCCAGACUGAUCCAUGUUCGCGAUUGGUCAGAUGCGGCGGGCUCCGCCUUAUAUGUGUGCACGCGCUCAUAGCAGAGCUGGAUCCACUUAUGAGGUUGAUAACCAGCGUCGUAAAACCGCUUAGCGAGACCGCUGGCUACCGCGCUAAGUUGAGCGAGGUAGAUCCAAACCUACCCCGCUAGGUUGAACCUGCUUCGUAAAACAGGCCCCUGGUCUGGCUUGAAUAUGUUUCAGAGCACCCUCCCCCUCCCCGGCCGCUAAGGCUGAGUGAGACUCCACACCUGCACUGCAUCUACAAUCAAGGCCUUUAAGAAGCCAGCAGCCCUCAGUCUCAGCGCCUGAGAAAUGUCUUCACCCCUGAGUGGUACAGAUGUGUCUCCUGGCCUCCUUUUUGGAUAAGUGUUAGUAAUUUUGCUCCCCGUGAUUCAUUGUAUGCCCACUCACUUCCUUCUCCUCUGUUUUUUCCGCAGUGUCUCCAGCCCACACAACAGCCAGCCAGCAAACCGGACUUUCUCUUGUACCUUUACCCCCCUGAGUUG